rnacentral:rRNA from 1 species
AAACCAGCACCUCAAGUGGUCAGGAUGAUUAUUGGGCCUAAAGCAUCCGUAGCCUGUUUUGUCAGUUUUCGGUUAAAUCCAUUAGCUCAACUAAUGGGCCGCCGAAAAUACUGUAGAACUAGGGAGUGGGAGAGGUAGACGGUAUUCGGUAGGAAGGGGUAAAAUCCUUUGAUCUAUUGAGGACCACCUGUGGCGAAGGCGGUCUACCAGAACACGUUCGACGGUGAGGGAUGAAAGCUGGGGGAGCAAACCGGAUUAGAAACCCGGGUAGUCC